CAGUCGCCGCGGGAAUACAGAGGGUGCGAGCGUUAAUUGGAUUUACUGGGCGUAAAGCGUGCGUAGGCGGCUUUUUAAGUCGGAUGUGAAAUCCCUGAGCUUAACUUAGGAAUUGCAUUCGAUACUGGGAAGCUAGAGUAUGGGAGAGGAUGGUAGAAUUCCAGGUGUAGCGGUGAAAUGCGUAGAGAUCUGGAGGAAUACCGAUGGCGAAGGCAGCCAUCUGGCCUAAUACUGACGCUGAGGUACGAAAGCAUGGGGAGCAAACAGGAUUAGAUACCCCCGUAGUCCCUGUCUCUUAUAC
rnacentral:rRNA from 1 species